GAGAACUAACUGCAAAGUUCCCUCUCCCUGACUAAAUGCAAACAUCUUCUUUUGAAGUGUAGACAGGAGAAUGCACGGGCAACUCUCUUGCGAUGGUGAAGUAUUGAGCUCCAGUAAGCAGGUGGACACAGAGCCAAGAUGAAAGGCCACAGCACCUUCCCCGACCAGCAGGAAAUUGCCCCACCGCCACCUGAGAUGAUCAGUGCGGGGAAAGCCUGCCUGCGUUGGCCUCCCUCACAGCUGAGGAUGCAUCCACAGCACAUCAACUAGCUCCAACUCACUCUGCCCCCACCACCAACUACCCAGCCCAUGUUGAAGUCCUAGAAGCUUCCUGGCCAAGCUGCAUGAGCAUAACCAACACUGGGCACUUAAAUGUAACCAGGAGCAUAUUAACUGAGAUGACAACUCAGAGUUCAAUCAUUCAGCAAAAGCUUAGGAAGUACUGCAUUUUGAAUGAAAGUGUUUAUUGUUUAAAUGAAGGCACCAAAUAUAGUGGGUGACGACAAUACUUUGAAGAAAGAUAAUUAUAAAAAUGAAUUUAAACACACAUGCACCUAGCUACGGAAACAUAUCUUAGCAGGAGAAGCAAAGUCCACUGUUGACAUCAAACACCUCCUGACACAGGUGUCGGGAAUGCCUGGGGACCCAAUUAGGAGGCCAUCACUCUGUCUCCCAGCAGCCAGGGGACAAGAACAGCCUACAGGAGAGGAGACAGAGGGAUUAGCAAUAAAGCAAGGUAUGUCUUGGAAGGCAGCCACCCUUUCCACCCAGUGCUGAGAACUCUGUUGGCACCAAAAGGAAUUGUGAAGUUGGCAACCCCAUCAGAACACAGAGAGAGAACCUGUACAUCCUGGGAGGGAGAUAAUCCAAAGCAGUCUUUAAAAUAAAUACUUCCAUUGGGGAUUUUAAGUACUUUGUA